rnacentral:rRNA from 1 species
GAAUUUUAUAUAGAUUUAUUUUAGAGAAAAAAUAAAAUUAAUUUAAUAAUAAAUUUUAUAUUUAAUUGGGAGGAUUAUUAAAUUAAUAAAACUUUAAUUAUAAAAUACAUAAAUGAAUGGGAAGAAUUUAAGUAAAAAGAAUGAUUAGUAAAUUAAAAAAAAAUUAAUUACCUUAGGGAUAACAGCGUAAUAUUUUUAGAUAGAUCAUAUAUAUAAAAAUGAUUGU